rnacentral:lncRNA from 1 species
GGUGCUGUCGGUGGCGUCGUCGUUGGAAUCUGAAUCUUGAACUUUCCGAAGAGAGGAUCUGGGCUUCAGAGUUCUUACCAGGUAAUGAGAAACUAUAG